rnacentral:pre_miRNA from 1 species
UAUGUGCUCCCUCCGUCCGGAAAUACUUGUCACUAAAAUGAAUAAAAGGUGAUGUAUCUAGAUGUAUUUUAGUUUUAGAUACAUCAUUUUCUAUCCAUUUUGAUGACAAGUAUUUUCAAACGGAGGGAGUACAAA